rnacentral:lncRNA from 1 species
AGAGACACAGAUGGAGACGAUGAAGGCUCUUGUUGCCGAUUUACCUGUUGGUAAGGUUAAUGUCGAUAAGAAAGGCAAGGGAGUUGUUGUUGCCGGAGAUGUUGAUGAUGAUGAUGAUGACGACGAGUUACUAUAUGAAGGUGACUCGGACUAGAUGAACGUGUUGAUGUAGCUGGAUCAUGUUUCUCUGUAGCUGUGAAAACAAUGUAGAAC